rnacentral:rRNA from 1 species
AUACGUAGGGUGCAAGCGUUAAUCGGAAUUACUGGGCGUAAAGCGUGCGCAGGCGGUCUUGUAAGACAGGUGUGAAAUCCCCGGGCUUAACCUGGGAACUGCACUUGUGACUGCAAGGCUGGAGUACGGCAGAGGGGGAUGGAAUUCCGCGUGUAGCAGUGAAAUGCGUAGAUAUGCGGAGGAACACCGAUGGCGAAGGCAAUCCCCUGGGCCUGUACUGACGCUCAUGCACGAAAGCGUGGGGAGCAAACAGGAUUAGAUACCCUAGUAGUCC